rnacentral:rRNA from 1 species
ACGGGAGGCAGCAGUGGGGGAUAUUGCACAAUGGGGGAAACCCUGGUGCAGCGACGCCGCGUGAGCGAAGAAGUAUUUCGGUAUGUAAAGCUCUAUCAGCAGGGAAGAAAAUGACGGUACCUGACUAAGAAGCUCCGGCUAAAUACGUGCCAGCAGCCGCGGUAAUACGUAUGGAGCAAGCGUUAUCCGGAUUUACUGGGUGUAAAGGGAGCGUAGACGGCGUGGCAAGUCUGAUGUGAAAGCUAUGGGCUCAACCCAUAAACUGCAUUGGAAACUGUCAUGCUAGAGUGUCGGAGAGGUAAGCGGAAUUCCUAGUGUAGCGGUGAAAUGCGUAGAUAUUAAGAGGAACACCAGUGGCGAAGACGGCUUACUGGACGAUAACUGACGUUGAGGCUCGAAAGCGUGGGGAGCAAACAGGAUUAGAUACCCUGGUA